rnacentral:rRNA from 1 species
GUGUCAGCCGCCGCGGUAAUACGGAGGGUGCAAGCGUUAUCCGGAUUUACUGGGUUUAAAGGGUGCGUAGGUGGGUUGGGAAGUCAGUGGUGAAAUACUUUCGCUUAACGAAGGAACUGCCAUUGAUACUAUCAAUCUUGAAUGUAGUGGAGGUAGGCGGAAUGCGUCAUGUAGCGGUGAAAUGCUUAGAUAUGACGCAGAACACCAAUUGCGAAGGCAGCUUGCUACACUACUAUUGACACUGAGGCACGAAAGCGUGGGGAUCAAACAGGAUUAGAAACCCUUGUAGUCC